rnacentral:rRNA from 1 species
CACGCCGUAAACGAUGUCAACUAGCCGUCAGGCCCGCUUUAGGGUUUGGUGGUGGAGCUAACGUAUUAAGUUGACCGCCUGGGGAGUACGCUCGCAAGAGUAAAACUCAAAGGAAUUGAC